rnacentral:rRNA from 1 species
UGGGGAAUAUUGGACAAUGGGGGCAACCCUGAUCCAGCAAUGCCGCGUGUGUGAAGAAGGUCUUCGGAUUGUAAAGCACUUUCGACGGGGACGAUGAUGACGGUACCCGUAGAAGAAGCCCCGGCUAACUUCGUGCCAGCAGCCGCGGUAAUACGAAGGGGGCUAGCGUUGCUCGGAAUGACUGGGCGUAAAGGGCGUGCAGGCGGUUUACACAGUCAGAUGUGAAAUCCCCGGGCUUAACCUGGGAGCUGCAUUUGAUACGUGUAGACUAGAGUGUGAGAGAGGGUUGUGGAAUUCCCAGUGUAGAGGUGAAAUUCGUAGAUAUUGGGAAGAACACCGGUGGCGAAGGCGGCAACCUGGCUCAUGACUGACGCUGAGGCGCGAAAGCGUGGGGAGCAAACAGGAUUAGAUACCCUGGUAGUCCACGCCUGUAAACGAUGUGUGCUAGAUGUUGGGUAACUUUGUUAUUCAGUGUCGCAGUUAACGCGUUAAGCACACCGCCUGGGG